UUUUCAGGAACUAGCAACAUGAACUGAUCCCAAGCAAAGACCAGGAGUGAAAAAAAAGGUGAAACACAAUUGAUUUAUCACUUUCAGGACAAGCUCUUCUAUUCGAUGUUGAGGCAGUCUUUGAUAUUGGCCAGAAUCAUCAUGUUAUAGCAAUAUUUGUGGGCACACUCAUGAAAAUAUAUCGAGAAGAUUACAAGUUCCUCAGUGGAACUUCUGCAUGUCGGUGGUAUAUAAAUGAAAAUGAUAUUCCAGCAAUGAGGACAUCUCAAAGAGGGUAUUAUUUCAGUUCUGAAUUUAAAUUCAGACACCUAUAUCUUAGCCCAAUACUCAUGUUUCGUUAAUUAAUCUGAGUAGUCCAAGGAACAACAUCUCAGAUGCAUAUUACCAAAUGUAUCUCCUGCUUGUUCAAAUAUAUUGUUCUGCACAAGUGAUGAAUUCACAGCCUCAGCUAAGCAAUACGGAGUACUAAAUUAGUUUCUGCAACA